ACGGAGGCAGCAGUGGGGAAUAUUGCGCAAUGGCGCAAGCCUGAUGCAGCCAUGCCGCGUGUAUGAAGAAGGCCUUCGGGUUGUAAAGUACUUUCAGCGGGGAGGAAGGUGUUGUGGUUAAUAACCGCACAAUUGACGUUACCCGCAGAAGAAGCACCGGCUAACUCCGUCCAGCAGCCGCGGUAAUACGGAGGCUGCAAGCGUUAAUCGGAAUACUGGGCGUAAAGCGCACGCAGGCGGUCUGUCAAGUCGGAUGUGAAAUCCCCGGGCUCAACCUGGGAACUGCAUUCGAAACUGGCAGGCUUGAGUCUUGUAGAGGGGGGUAGAAUUCCAGGUGUAGCGGUGAAAUGCGUAGAGAUCUGGAGGAAUACCGGUGGCGAAGGCGGCCCCCUGGACAAAGACUGACGCUCAGGUGCGAAAGCGUGGGGAGCAAACAGGAUUAGAUACCCUGGUAGUCCACGCCGUAAACGAUGUCUACUUGGAGGUUGUGCCCUUGAGGCGUGGCUUCCGGAGCUAACGCGUUAAGUAGACCGCCUGGGGAGUACGGCCGCAAGGUUAAAACUCAAAUGAAUUGACGGGGGCCCGCACAAGCGGUGGAGCAUGUGGUUUAAUUCGAUGGAACGCGAAGAACCUUACCUGGUCUUGCAUCCACAGAACUUUCCAGAGAUGGAUUGGUGCCUUCGGGAACUGUGAGACAGGUGCUGCAUGGCUGUCGUCAGCUCGUGUUGUGAAAUGUUGGGUUAAGUCCCGCAACGACCGCAACCCUUAUCCUUUGUUGCCAGCGGUUAGGCCGGGAACUCAAAGGAGACUGCCAGUGAUAAACUGGAGGAAGGUGGGGAUGACGUCAAGUCAUCAUGGCCCUUACGACCAGGGCUACACACUGCUACAAUGGCGCAUACAAAGAGAAGCGACCUCGCGAGAGCAAGCGGACCUCAUAAAGUGCGUCGUAGUCCGGAUUGGAGUCUGCAACUCGACUCCAUGAAGUCGGAAUCGCUAGUAAUCGGGAUCAGAAUGCCACGGUGAAUACGUUCCCGGGCCUUGUACACACCGCCCGUCACACCAUGGGAGUGGGUUCAAAGAA
rnacentral:rRNA from 1 species